CAAAACAAUUUAAAAAAAAGCUAAUACUGGGGAUGGGAGCGGCUACUGUUGUAGAUGAGAAGUUGGGAAGAUAGGAUACAUACGAUUAUUUCAUUUAUAUCUGUAAGCAACGAUAAACUAUUGCUUGACGAAAAGCGAUUCCGAGCGCAGUUAGGUUACACAUAAUUUGAAAUCCCGUAAUUUCCGAAAAUCAAAAAAUAACCUCUCUAGGAAGUUU